GUUGUUUUGACGUCAUCUGAUUUCGUCAUAGAAGGUGCUGUAGGAGAUCGUUAUGCUGAAAAACUCCCAACAAAAUGGAUAUUUUUUAGAUGACAGUGUAACACUUGAUUGACACUCGAAAGUAGACUAUUUCUUCUGGAGUGCUUCUGGGUUUAUCAGUUAGCACUGUCCUUUAUGGUUUCAUCCCAGACCAGAUAGCCUCAUUCCUGUUCCAGUGUAAGGUAUAGUUACUAAUCUGUUUGCACCUGCCUGUACCAUAUUUUUUUAAAGGCUUUGGAGUGGUUACUUUGCUGGGAUUUUUGUGGGGUUUUUUUCCAGCUGACUUCAUUUAUCUAGAAGCUAGGUGUCCAGUCAGAGCUACUUGUCUUGGCUCCCUCUCUGUCAAUCGUAUUGACACCGUAGUGUGUCCUCUCCUAGUCAUGCUGUCCUUCCAUUGGCUCCAGCUUUAACUGGGUACCCACCUCUGACUGCUGAUGUUUGGUAGGAUGGACUCUGCCACCCCAUCAGUAGGAGCUGAUCUCUGAACAUCCCCUGGUGCCUUGGAAUUGUUUUUUUUCCCUGGGUGUGUAAGCUGUAAUAUCCCACUGAACACUGCAGAACUGCCCCUGCUGCAGCAGGAUGGUGUUGGCCACGCAGCAGGGAAGCUGGUAUGCUGAUUCCUAUGCAACGCCUUGUCCUGGAUCUGAGCCUUGUGGCCAGUAGUCCUAGAAGGGGAAUGUAUGUCAAUAUUUAAUUAAAUAAUGUAAAUAUUUAAUUAAAAAUGGCUUAAUCAAAGCCAUCAGCUGGCAUCCUGCCUUUGCUGAGGGAGACCUUUGCUAGGUGCAGUGAGGGAUUGGAUUUUUCUUUUCUAUACAAUGCCAUCUCCACAAAAGCCAUGGUUGCAGACAUCCUUAAACAGCCUGGGCUUUCCAGGGUCUAGGAGCCAUACAUGCCAAUGACGGGAGUGCACUAUGGUUUAGGAUGGGAGCCCUGGAAGGCUGCAGUCAUACCGUAUGACAUUGAAUAGCCACAAGUAGAGCACACGUGAAACCAGCUGAUGGUUCAAAAUGCUGUUUCCACUCACCCAGAAACCCCAGGAGAAACUACUGUUGCAGUAGCUUUACAGAGGGGAAGAAGGAAAAAAACAUAUUCCCUUUUUAGGGUAGCAUUCUCUCUUCAUCGAAAUUACUGGAAAUACUUUUAUCAGUGGCUUUACUUCUUGUGGCUUAUGGAUCUUCUUGAUUAAAUCCUGUAUACUGUAGAGAGAGGAGGUAUGUACCAUGGGAAUGCCACACAUGGUGGGGUGUGGAUUCCCCAAGCUGCCACUCGCCAAACCCCAAAGACAAGUCGGUUCUGGGCACAAAUAAGCACAGUUUCCAGAGAGGACUGUUCCUUACAGUUGUGCUUCUUCCUCACAGAUCUGAACCUCAUCUCUUCUUGGUUGUAUUUCACUCAAAAACAGUGCAUGUAAAUAUAAAUCCAGUUCCCUGCAAGUAUUGUUGGGAUGCCAAGAAUUCCCCUACUAUUAUUUUGUCAAGAAAAUAGUAUAUUCUGUAGUUCUGCUCAGUUAUUUUCAUCCAAUAAAUGGGAACAUUUCCACACCAAGUG